CCUAUUGGUUUUCGAAUACUUUGUUUUCGGACAUGUUACUCUGUUGGCGUACUGUUUAUCGCAUGCUAUAUAGUAGGGAAGUAUUCAGUUUCAGAUGCAGCUAUGUAGCCCUAGCCCUUUUUAGUGUUGCGUUUGUUGUGUUCUGUCUUCCGGUUCGUAUUUCCACAGCAUGAAGGCGGACCGUUAAAGAACGCAACACACACAUCUCCCGGACAUCCUGUAGAAUUCAACCAACCAGAUGACGACUUCGAAAAUCCUGAAGUGUUUCCAAGAUGGAAAACUGACAGACCUAUUAUGCAGUUCUAUGGAUGUUUCGCCAGGUCUCCGCACCUGUCAUGUGAUGGAAAACAAUGAAUUGGUGGGGCAUAUAUUUUGGACAAUAGGUAAAAAAAAAAAACUUAUUUAAAAAAUAAAAUAAAAUAAAACUUUGGUUUGUGUGUUAUGGUUCCAUUGUUUUGGUCUUGUCAAGUGGUUCUCAGUUCUGUCUUGUCAUUGCUUUAUCAUCUUAAUUAAUCACAGGUAGUCAUUAGUCAUUGUGUAUAUAUUUUAUAACCCUCAUAUCCCCGUUGUCUCUUGUCUAGCUAUGUUUUAUGUA